rnacentral:lncRNA from 1 species
UUUAUUUUAUUAUUAAAAUCAAACACAUUGAUUUGAUGGCCCUUCAACAAUACAAUUUUUUCCCAACAGAUUUCUUCUAUCCUCGUCCACAGAAGUCUGCUGCCACUUUGGAAAUUAAGUUUUCACCAAAAGAAGAAAAUGAGAAGCAGAAGAAACAAGGGAUGAGUGGAAGAAGCAUUAUCAAAGUCCCUCCUUCUCAUCAUGCUCUUUUUUGCACUCCAAAUUUGCGUUCUCCAAUUGACAAGGAAUUAUUCAAAUUCUCCACACAGCCACUUUCUUGGUUAGUUCCAUUAGAAGAAAAGGAAAAUGGUCGCGCUUUCUGCUGCUGAUUGUUACAAAAGUUGUUUUCUAAACAGAAAGAAUAAUACGUAUGACUCAUAAAUUGUAACGGUCCAUAGGAAUGUUCCUUUACAUUCUCAAUUAUGUUUAAUAUUCCCAUAGGAAAGCUCUUUUCUAAUUUUUCAGCCC